AUUGAACGCUGGCGGCAGGCCUAACACAUGCAAGUCGAGCGAGCGGCGGACGGGUGAGUAAUGUAUGGGGAUCUGCCCGAUAGAGGGGGAUAACUACUGGAAACGGUGGCUAAUACCGCAUACUAUCGGAUGAGCCCAAGUGGGAUUAGGUAUUUGGGGAGGUAAAGUCUCACCAAGCCGCCGAUCUCUAGCUGGUCUGAGAGGAUGACCAGCCACACUGGGACUGAGACACGGCCCAGACUCCUACGGGAGGCAGCAGUGGGGAAUAUUGCGCAAUGGGGGCAACCCUGACACAGCCAUGCCGCGUGAAUGAAGAAGGCCUUCGGGUUGUAAAGUACUUUCAGCGGGGAGGCGUUACCCGCAGAAGAAGCACCGGCUAACUCCGUGCCAGCAGCCGCGGUAAUAC
rnacentral:rRNA from 1 species